rnacentral:rRNA from 1 species
GAUGAACGCUGGCGGCGUGCCUAAUACAUGCACGUCGAGCGAAGCGGCGGACGGGUGAGUAAUACCUAGGAAUCUGCCUGGUAGUGGGGGAUAACGUCCGGCAACGGGCGCUAAUACCGCAUACUCUCGGAUGAGCCUAGGUGGGAUUAGCUAGUGGGGGGGGUAAAGGCCUACCAAGGAGACGAUCCGUAACGGGUCUGAGAGGAUGAUCAGUCACACGGGAACUGAGACACGGUCCAGACUCCUACGGGCGGCAGCAGUGGGUAAUAUUGGACAAUGGGCGAAAACCUGAUCCAGCCAUGCCUCGUGUGUGAAGAAGGUCUGCGGAUUGUAAAGCACUUUAAGUUGGGAGGCGUUACCAACAGAAUAAGCACCGGCUAACUUCGUGCCAGCAGCCGCGGUAAUAC